AUCGGCUGGGAGUGAAAAUGGCGAUAUCAGCGUUGGAGAUCCGCUAUGUCCUACUUAUCAUCAAUCAAAUCCCUCAAAUGAAAAGUGACCUCGCCAUUAUUGCUCAAAAGACUGGAAGGAGUCCUGUGGAGGAUCUAGAUGUCUCCUUUUUGACUUUUGGAGAAGUGCAACCGACUCCAGAGAGGAGACCGAGCCCUUUAAAGAGAGUCCCAUGGUGACUGAGUGCUUUCGAGAGACACCACAGACUGCAGCAACAGCUGAGACCACAGCGAAAACACAGAUUGAAGUUAUAAAGGGCUCUGGGGUGUUUUGCCAGGCAGAAGCGUGGAAAGCAGCCCGCCUUGCCACCUCUGCCACUGCCAUGGUGCAGAAUCUGCUGCUGGGCACCUUUGAUUUGGAUACUUUGCUGAAAAGCAACCUGAAUGGUGGGAAGCCAACCAGAGGGGAUGGGGAGCAGCUGGUCGCCCUUGACCAAAUUAAAAAGGCAGCCAUUAUUGGUGAGUAAAUGCAUAA